AGUAUAGUUAUGGUCUCUUGAAACUUAAAGGAUUUGGCGGUAUUAUAGUCUAUUUAGAGGAAUCUGUUAUGUAAUCCAUAAUCCACGUUGGACCUUACUUAUAUUAAAUUCUUGUAUAUCGCUGUUUAUGAAUAUACCAGAAGGUAUUUAUUUUUAAAAUAUUUAAGUUAUUAAUAUUUCAAAGUCAAGGUGCAGUAAAUUUAUGAGUUGAAUAAUGGAUUACAAUAAAGUUAUUUAUAACGGAAAACUUUAAGGAGAAAAAAACCAAAGGAGUUUAAAGGUGAAUUUAAUAGUAAUUUUUUUGAA
rnacentral:rRNA from 1 species